AUUGAACGCUGGCGGCAGGCCUAACACAUGCAAGUCGAGCGGAUGAAGGGAGCUUGCUCCUGGAUUCAGCGGCGGACGGGUGAGUAAUGCCUAGGAAUCUGCCUGGUAGUGGGGGAUAACGUCCGGAAACGGGCGCUAAUACGGCAUACGUCCGGAGGGAGAAAGGGGGGGAUCUUCGGACCUCACGCUAUCAGAUGAGCCUAGGUCGGAUUAGCUAGUUGGUGGGGUAAAGGCCUACCAAGGCGACGAUCCGUAACUGGUCUGAGAGGAUGAUCAGUCACACUGGAACUGAGACACGGUCCAGACUCCUACGGGAGGCAGCAGUGGGGAAUAUUGGACAAUGGGCGAAAGCCUGAUCCAGCCAUGCCGCGUGUGUGAAGAAGGUCUUCGGAUUGUAAAGCACUUUAAGUUGGGAGGAAGGGCAGUAAGUUAAUACCUUGCUGUUUUGACGUUACCAACAGAAUAAGCACCGGCUAACUUCGUG
rnacentral:rRNA from 1 species